rnacentral:rRNA from 1 species
UACAGAGGUCCCGAGCGUUGUUCGGAUUCAUUGGGCGUAAAGGGUGCGUAGGCGGCGGGGUAAGUUUGAUGUGAAAUUCCGGAGCUCAACCCUGGCAUGGCAUUGAAUACUACCUUGCUAGAGUACCGGAGAGGAAACUGGAAUUUACGGUGUAGCAGUGAAAUGCGUAGAUAUCGUAAGGAAGACCAGUGGCGAAGGCGAGUUUCUGGACGGUACCUGACGCUGAGGCACGAAGGCCAGGGGAGCAAACGGG